GGUGAAUAUGUUUUAUAAAUCCUGUCCACCCCGUGGAUAGGUAGUCGGCAAAACGUCGAACUGUCAUAAGAAUUGAAACGCUGGCACACUGUUGGGUCCUGAGGCAACACAUUGUGUUGUCA
rnacentral:misc_RNA from 1 species